UCUUUAUUUCACGCGCUCUCUCACCGGUCAGAGAGGCGAGAUAGUGUGCGAAAUGAAGAGA
rfam:Pristionchus pacificus strain PS312 contig4896, whole genome shotgun sequence.